CUACGAAGGGGGCUAGCGUUGUUCGGAAUCACUGGGCGUAAAGCGCACGUAGGUGGACUAAUUAGUUGAGGGUGAAAUCCCGGGGCUUAACCUCGGAACUGCCUUCAAUACUGUUAGUCUUGAGUCCGAGAGAGGUGAGUGGAGUUCCUAGUGUAGAGGUGAAAUUCGUAGAUAUUAGGAAGAACACCAGUGGCGAAGGCGGCUCACUGGCUCGGUACUGACGCUGAGGUGCGAAAGCGUGGGGAGCAAACAGGAUUAGAAACCCCUGUAGUCC
rnacentral:rRNA from 1 species